rnacentral:rRNA from 1 species
AAACUAACCAGGAUUCCCCUAGUAACGGCGAGUGAACCGGGAUUAGCCCAAACUUAAAAUCUCUUCGGAGAAUUGUAGUCUAGAGAAGCGUCCUCAGGGGCGGUCGGUCUUGAAUUCCGUUGGAAGACGGAGUCAAAGAGGGUGAAAACCCCGUCGAGACUUGGCUUAGCCCCCCCACGAGGUGCUUUCCUCGAGUCGGGUUGCUUGAGAAUGCAGCCCAAAGUAGGAGGUAAAUCCCUUCUAAGGCUAAAUACUGGCGAGAGACCGAUAGCGAACAAGUACCGUGAGGGAAAGAUGAAAAGAACUUUGAAAAGAGAGUUAAAAAGUGCUUGAAAUUGUUGAGAGGAAAGCGUUUGCAAGCCGUGUAUGCACCUGGGCUGAUGGGCCUUUAACGAGGUCAUGUAAGUGCCAGACGCUGGUCAAUGUGGGUUCGAUCGGAGGUACAAAGCCAUAGGGUGAUCCCUGGGUGUAUACCCCCGAUUGGACCAAGGCUUGAAUGCUGCUUUGUCCUAUGGAACUGCUGCAUCAAGACAUUGGCAGAAGGCUUUCAAACGGC